rnacentral:rRNA from 1 species
UACGUAGGGGGGCUAGCGUUGUCCGGAUUUAUUGGGCGUAAAGAGCGUGUAGGCGGCCAGGUAGGUCUGGUGUGAAAACUCGAGGCUUAACCUUGAGAUGUCAUCGGAAACCAUUUGGCUAGAGUCCGGAAGAGGAAAGUGGAAUUCCUGGUGUAGCGGUGAAAUGCGCAGAUAUCAGGAAGAACACCAAUGGCGAAGGCGGUUCUCUGGGCCUUACCUGACGCUGAGGAGCGGAAAGCGUGGGGAGCGAACGGG